ensembl:misc_RNA 7SK 7SK RNA
GGGUGUGAAGCGAUCGGGCUGUGACAUCAGUCACCCCAUUGAUCGCCAGGGUUGAUUUGGCUGAUCUGGCUGGCUAGGUGGGUGUCCCCUUCCUCCCUUAGUGCUCCACAUGUGUUCCUCUGGAAUGUGCACACCAGCUUGAAGUGGACAAACUUCCCCAAUAGAGGAGGGCUGUUUCUUUGGUCAAGGGUAUAUGAGUAGCUGAGCUACCCUGCUAGAACUUCCAAACAAGCUCUGAAGAACCUGCUUCUAUCUUGACCUGUGCCAUCUUCCUUGGGCAGUCUAUUGCAGCAUUACCUACCCAGACCAUUUCUAUGGUUAGCUCUCGUGGCAUCUCAU